GCCCACGUAGCUCAAUGGUCAGAGCGUGCGGCUUUUAACCGCAAGGAAGGCUGCGAGUUCGACCCUCGCCGUGGGCU
rnacentral:tRNA from 1 species